rnacentral:tRNA from 1 species
UAGGAUAAGGUGUAUUAGGUAGCACGGAGAAGUUUGGGUUCUCAAGGGCAGGUUCGAUGCCUGCGAUCUUAG